AUACGGAGGAUCCAAGCGUUAUCCGGAUUCAUUGGGCGUAAAGCGCGCGUAGGCGGCUUAUUAAGUCAGGUGUCAAAUCCAGAGGCUCAACCUCUGUCCGCACCUGAAACUGAUAGGCUUGAGUUUGGUAGAGGAAGAUGGAAUUCCCAGUGUAGCGGUGAAAUGCGCAGAUAUUGGGAGGAACACCAAUGGCGAAGGCAGUCUUCUGGGCCAUAACUGACGCUGAGGUGCGAAAGCU
rnacentral:rRNA from 1 species